GAAAUGCGAUAAGUAAUGUGAAUUGCAGAAUUCAGUGAAUCAUCGAAUCUUUGAACGCACAUUGCGCCCGCCAGCACUCUGGCGGGCAUGUCUGUUCGAGCGUCAUUUCAACCCUCAGAACCCCUUGCGGGAUCUGGCGUUGGGGAUUGGCAUCCAGCCAGCCCCGAAAUCUAGUGGCGGUCCCUCCGCGACCUCCCCUGUGCAGUAGCGAUACCUCGCAGCGGGACAGCGGUCUGACCACGCCGUAAAACCCCCAACUUCUCAAGGUUGACCUCGAAUCAGGUAGGAAUACCCGCUGAACUGAAG
rnacentral:misc_RNA from 1 species